ensembl:lncRNA
GGAAGCCGGGCUGUUGUUACAGGGGUGCUGUUACAGGGGUGUUGAGCGGGGGAGCCCAAGCUGUCUUUCAUAAGCCCACCAACCAAAGUGAACCCUGAGACUCACAGAGGCCCAUGUCCAAUGAGCACAUCCCUGGGGGUCUUCCAAAAAAGACAAAGAGGCUGUGCCUUCUUUCUUUGAGACAAAGAGACAGUUCACUCCCAGAGAUGCUCUAGUGUCUGGUGCUAGAAGAGUGAAUUAAUGCUUCCCUGCUGCCCCUCCCACAGAAUCCAGCUCUCAUGGGAUUCGGUUCCAAGAGUCCACUCCACUCAUCGCCGGAGGCUUGGAAGUGUGCAAUCUUGGAGUCACUCCACCGGAAGAAAAGAGAUGGAACAACUUCCCCGCUUUCAAGAGGCAUAGAACUUACAAGAGUGAGAUGGCUCGGUGGGUAAAGGCGCUUGCUGCCAAGCCUGAUGGACUGAGUUCCAUCCCUGGACCCACGGACCCGCACCACAUGGUAGAAGGAGAAAACUUAACUUCUGGAAGUCUCCCUCUGACGACUGACUGACCCCCACGCAUUCACCCACACAAAAAAAAAAAACAAAUUUAGCCAGUUCAGCGGAAAAGUUCCAGAACAGAGAGUCGGGAGCGUGCUUAGAUGCAGCCACUGUGCACAGCACUCUGAAGUGCUUAGUACCUCUGUGCUCACUACUUCUGUGUCAACUUAACAGAAGCUACAGUCAUUUGAGGGGAGGGAGCCUCAGCUGAUAAGCUGCCUCCAUAAGAUUGGACUGUAGUCAAGCUCCUAGGCCAUUUUCUUAAUUAGUGAAGUAGGGAAACCUAGACAAUUAUGGGUGGUGCCACUCCCUGAGCCGAUGGUGCUGGGUCCUAUAAGAAAGCAGGCUGAGCAAGCCUCGAGGAGCAAGCAUUCUUUUGUGGCCUCUGCACCGGCUCCUGAUGCCAGGUACCUACCUGUCAAGUUCCUGCUUGGCUUCCCUCAAUGAACUGUGAUUCAGAAUACAUGCACCAAAUAAGCCAUUUCCUCCCCAAGUUGAUUUUUGGUCACAGUGUUUCAUCACAGAAGUAGUAACCUUAACUACAACAAUCUUCUUCCUAUUUUGUUACACAUAAUGUAUGUAAAGAUGUGUGCCCGUGGCCUGUAAUUACUUUGUGUGUAUGAUGUAUACGUGUGUAUAGUUGAAUGUAUUUGCCCCCCCCUCUCUUUCUCUCUGUCUCCUCCUCCCUCCCUCCUUCCCUCCCUCCCUCCUUCCCUCCC